AACCUUAUGGACCUGCGGGCGUAUACCUGCGGAGGGAUCAUUACCUAGAGUUGUAGGCUUUGCCUGCUAUCUCUUACCCAUGUCUUUUGAGUACCUUACGUUUCCUCGGUGGGCUCGCCCACCGAUUGGACAAAUUUAAACCCUUUGCAGUUGAAAUCAGCGUCUGAAAAAACUUAAUAGUUACAACUUUUAACAAUGGAUCU
rnacentral:misc_RNA from 1 species